CCAGCACGCCGCUCCUAAAUCAGAUGACCUCGGCAGUCUCGGAGCGAAAGAGCCAUCCAUCAGGCCGCAGACAGACCGCCUGUCACUCUGUUAUCAUGUCUCCGAAAACUCAGACUGAUGUCUCAUGGAGCCAUAUGGAGAGGAGAUCCAGUAUUUACUUGGAGAGGAGCUGUGAUUCAUGGGCGCUGAGAGGGGGUGGAAAAUAAUCGUAGCACAUGUCCUCAGACUCGCAGACUUGUGCAUGGAGACCAGAUGCUGCUCCAGCAGGACUGUGUCUGGGAUCGGCCUGCUGGGAAUCGGUUAGUCGAUCCCGUACGCAAAGGCCCCGUGCACACCUGAUACUGACAGCCGGUGAUCCGAACACAACUGGACGGUGCUAAAUACAGACUCGAAAACUGUUGUAUGAGGCCCAAAAAAGAAGAGGAAGAGAGUUCAGCGAAUGACCUUAAAUGACUACACAUCAGUCAGGUAAAACAAACAGAUUUCUUUAUUUUUUUGGCACAACAGAGACAAACAUAAGAGCUAUUUCUAUGGAGUUUUCUUGGAAGAAAAAAUAACUUUAGAUUCUUAAAUGUGUGAAGUUUCCUCAUGAGAUGAAGGUAUUGAGGCAUUAAUGGUGACGUGUGUAAUUUCAGUGUCUUGGAAAUGCAAAAAUACUGACCUAAGAUUAAUUUUUAUAUUAUGAAUCUUAGCUUGACUCAUGAAUCCUGACUGAUUUACUGAUCAUCAAGUGUCGAAAUGACCAGUUGGCACAGGCUUCUUCUUGAUUUUUAAGUCUGGAUAUAUACCAGGUUAUGCCCUGCUCUAUAAUUAUUUGAUCAAUUACU